rnacentral:rRNA from 1 species
UACGUAGGCAGCGAGCGUUGUUCGGAGUUACUGGGCGUAAAGGGUGUGUAGGCGGUUGUUUAAGUUUGGUGUGAAAUCUCCCGGCUCAACUGGGAGGGUGCGCCGAAUACUGAAUGACUUGGAGUGCGGGAGAGGAAAGUGGAAUUCCUGGUGUAGCGGUGAAAUGCGUAGAUAUCGAGAGGAACACCUGCGGCGAAGGCGGGUUGCUGGGCUGACACUGACGCUGAGGCGCGAAAGCUAGGGGAGCGAACGGG